AGCUUCUUCUCUUUGUCCUCAAGAAAAAAAAGAUACAUUCCAGAUAAUUUCACGCGAUGAAAGAGGAAGAAGCGCUGAAGUAGCAAAGGAAAUAAAUUAACGCCAUCUCAGCUAAAAUCACACACAAUUAAAACCUGGAUCUGAAUGUACUUUCCUGUUCAGAGAGAGCAGCUUGAAAAUGACAUGCAUUAGUCAUUCACUCCAGCCACCCGACUCAAUGUACGGGGACGCCACACGGUCUCUGAUGGCGGGGCUGCCGGAAGGAAAGGGGAAGGGUUCCUGACCCCAGUCUUCAGCUCUCUGUUCUCUCGUCUGGAGUCUGAAAAUCCCACUCCUCCGUGGCAGAGGCAUCCAAACGAGCCAGAAAAAAAAAAACAAAAAACAAAAAAAAAACAAUCUUCAGCAAAGGAGAUGGGUUAAUGUGCCUGAAAAAAAGAAGACAGAAAAGACUUCACGAACCAAAAGGUCCCCAGGUGCCGACAUACGACAUACCAAGGCCAGUGACCAGUGACGGGCUGUUCUUCAUGUCCCCUGAGGGUAAAAUAGGAAGGAAUGUGGUUUGUGGCAGGAGUAAGAAUAAAAUAUAAGGAUGA